rnacentral:lncRNA from 1 species
CACAGACACCGCAGCCUAGGCCCAGUUGGAAGGAGGUGUUUGUGGACGAUGGACAAGUUAGAGUAGAGAAUUUACACAGUAGGGCAGCAGGGGAGGAUUCUGCGUUGGGAAGCCAUAUCAUUAGAUCCAUUUCUAGGACAAUAAUCAGGAAAACAAAGGGAAGGAUGAAGUGAAGGAGCUGGAGAAGAUGGGAGGCAGGAAGCCCAUCCAGGAGGCUGGUGGAAGCCCAAAGAAGCAGAGCUUCAAUGGAAGCAAAAGCAGGGGUUGGAACAAGCUGGUUUCUACAUACUGACUUUUCAAUGUUCGCUCUUGGGUUUUCUUAUGCUUCUAGCUGUUGGCUGAUAUCUAUGUAUCUAUACUGAAUUAUCUGUCCAUCUAUCUACCUAAUUCUUUUUUACUUUGUUUUCCUUCCCUCUUUUUAAGUAAUGGGAUGGAGAGAAACAACCCCUUCCAUCUUGACCCCUACAUAACGGACAGCCCUUAAUCAUCUUAGGUCAUGGGAAAGGUUUCCAUGCAUCCCAGCCAUCUUGAGAGCUGACAGGGCUUGGUGCUCCUGCAGUCAGAGAUGUUACGUGGUUAAAACUGGUUUUAUCUGUCCUUACUCCCAGCCCUUCCUCGUGUCCUAUCCUCGCAGAAUGUUCCUGGUUUUCUCCUUAGAUAAUUGGAUAUCAUAUUUGAUCAGCGAUGGGCUGACACAGGAAGUGUGGGAGGGGCAUCAUCUGUGCUCUUUUGGUUGAUUUGUUUCCGUGUUUACAAUGACAGAGCAACACAUUGGCUUCUUUCAUUGCUGUCUCUUUAUGCUUUUGUCCAACGGAUUACAUGUUACAUAAUUGCUCCUUAGUGAUUUUUAAAAAGAAAAUCUUCCAGCAGUAGACAAACAGAUUCUGCUAACCAAGCAUUAAGAUACCUUGAAGGGAUCCUGGUGGGUUGAGUGUGGGUUUCUGGGGAUGGGUAGGAAUGCACUUUAGAGAGAAGGAAAAUGGGGCCUGGUGAUAGUGUUUGUUGCCCCAGAGCUUGAUGGAUUCCCCGCGCCCCCAUUCUGUCUCUGGGGGACAAGGCAUUUCACUUGCAGACAUAUCUUUCUUCUUUUCUGCUGCUGUAUUUCAUUCUCCCCACGGGAUGCCAGGCAAGUGCACAGUUAGGUGACACACACUGGCAGGAAACCAUCAUCUAGGCGGCCCGUAUUUGUUUCCAUGGUUCCUGAGAGGUUAGGGUGAAGGAAAGAGGCAAAACUUGGGCACUGAAAGCAAACCUUCUAUUCUUCUCUCCUCUCAAUGCAUAAACACGCACAGCAUCCCUCUGGGCAAGGGAGACAGACCUCACUUGGUGAUUCAUUUAGAUUCAGCAUGAGAUGGAGAUAUUGUUUUAUUCUUCAUUAUAAGAGGGGCCAUUGCUUCAAAUUGACCAUUUGCCCCCCUCACUCUUUUCCAAAGUAGCCUGUUGACAAUCUCCUCUUGUAGAUUACAGUUCUCAGUAGAGACAAGUAGGGAGAAAUUCAGAUGUUGAAAAGCUUUGAGACAUCCCACAGAGUUGGAAUGCUUUUUUCAAAGGGAACAAAACUCUGCAAAUGUGUAUGUACUUGCCUCUGUGCCCCAAAGAGCCAGCUGGACAGCCCGUAAAGGACUCUGCUUUAGAAACAACAAAAGCGCAUGUCAGAAGCCAAGGGACAGGGGGCUGAGAACUAAUAAUAAUUUUGUACUUACACAGCAGUUUUGGUCGGAGGACCUCAGAGUGCUUUAUAAACAUUAAUUAAAUUGCCCCACAGCCCUGUGAGAUGUCUGUGUAUCACUAUUUCCAAUUUGCAGGGGGCAGAGGGAAGAGAAAUGAGUGCAUGGCGUGACGUUGGAACCAGGCCAGGCUACGGUGCCUGAGGACUGCAGACUCAGAAAAAGCAGCGGGACCUUUUCCUCGGUGACUCUAAGGUGAUGGCCAUGCGUCACUGUACAUGCUGGGCCAAGAAAGAGAUGUCUGGCAGCAGAGCUGUCUAGAAUGACUCCUCUGCAGGGCCUACCUGGUACAUGAGGCUAGCUGCACUGAGCUUGAGGGGCGCUGGCACCAUCUCCCCCACAAGCUCAUCACCGCUACUGCCUUUAUUACAGACACGUCCCUUCAGUGGAACUCCUGGUGGCAAGUCGGUUUUACCCAAGGUGCUGGCUCUGAUUGCUUGGACGUGUAGCCGGGACAGCUGCUCGGAGAAGGGUUGUGAUGUGUACUCAGAAAAAAAUCCCAUGAUCGAUUAUCGAUGUCUGUCUUGCAUUUGGGGAAAGGUAGUUGUGGCUUGAAUUGUGUCCCCUGAAAAGAUGUCUUAAAAAAAGAUUUAUUUGGGAGUUCCUUUCAGGGCUCAGCGGUUAACGAACCUGAUUAGGAUCCAUGAGGAUGUGGGUUCGAUCCCUGGCCUUGCUUAGGGGCUUAAGGAUCCAGCGUUGCCACGAGCUGUGGUGUAGGUCGCAGAUGUGGCUCAGAACCUGCAUCGCUGUGGUCAUGGUAUAGGCCGGCAGCUGUAGCAUGGAUUCGACUCCUAGCCUUGGAAAUUCUAUAUGCCUCUGGUGUGGCCCUAAAGAGCAAAAAAAGGAAAAAUUAUUUUAUUGAAGUGUAGUGGAUUUACAAUAUUGUAUUAAUUUCUGCUGUACAGCAAAGUGAGUCAGUUACACACACAUACACACACACACGCACACGCACAUUCUUUUUUUUUUUUUUUGGCAUGCACAAGUUCUCAGGCCAGGGGUUGAACCCACAGCGACGCCACAGCAGUAACCGGAGCUAUAGCAGUGAAAGUGCUGGAUCCUUAACCCUCUGAUCCACCAGGGAACUCUGACUUUUUCGCAUUUUUUCCAUUAUGUUUUAACAUAGGAUGUUGAACCUAGUUCCCCGUGCUGUACAGUAGGACCUUGUUUAUCCAUUCUGUGUGUAAUAGUUUGCAUCUACUAACCCUAAACCCCCACCCCCUGCUCCCCACCACCACCUCCCCCCUUGACAACCGUACGUCUGUCCUCUACGUCUGAGUUCCAUUUCUGUUUCCUAGAUGUGUUCAUAUUUAGAUCCCACAUUAAGCGGGUGUCAUAUGGUAUUUGUCUUUCUCGGUCUGACUUACUUCCCUUACUGGGAUGGUCUCCAGGACCAUCCACAUUUACUGCAAGCGGCAUCAUUGCCUUCUCUCUGAAAAGCUGUCUUGAGAGCCUAACCUUGGUGCCCGUGCCUGUGGUCUUUGGAAACAGGGUCCUUGUAGAUGUAACCAAGUGAAGAUGAGGACAUACUGGGUUGGAGUGGGCCCUGAAUCCGAUGACUGGGUCCAUGAGAAAAGGGCAGCGUGGGCACAGACACAGACGAGAAGCUGGGGGAAGAGGGAGGCAGUGAUUGGGGUGUGGUGUUCUCAUGCCAAGGAAUGACCAGGAUUUCGGGUGACCCCCGAAGCUGGAGGAGGCAAGGAAGGAGUCUUUCCUGGAGGCUUGGCAGGGAGCUCAGCCCUGCUGAAACCUUAAUUUCAAACUUUGGGCUUCCAGAACCGUGAGAGAAUAAAUGUCUGAGGUCUUAAGCGACCCAGUUUGGGGGACUGUUUGACAGUAGCCCUAGGAAAUCAAUACAAUAGUCUAAAUUUUGGGAGUUUCCAAAUGCAGGAUCUUUAAAACAGUUAUUUAUUUAAAAACAUUUCCCACCAUUGGAAUAAAGGAAGGAAGGCCUCCUGGAGAGAUCGGGCUGUGAUGAUGGACAUGAGACAGGGUGAGCGCAUCGUAAUGGCAGUGACAGUGACGUCACUGCGGUCCCCCGAGGGGGCACUUGUGAUUGUUCUCAGCUGCUUAGAUGUUUUGGCGGGUCAGCCCUGUUGGAAGGUGUUGAAUUACAAUUGUGAAAAUUCAUUUCCCACCUCCCAUUUCUUAAUCCUUUUAAUGACAUAGAAAAUCAAGGAGUGCAUCCAGAAGCCAGAUCCGGGGUAGCGAAGGGCAAAAAUAACCUGCAAAUAAGAAAAAUAUAAAUCUAAGAUCUAAACUCUGGGAAAACUGAUCUUUCGUGGGUGAGGUUGCAGAUAUUUGGAGCAGGAGGCGAUCUGCUGUAUUCAUCUUCGGUCUUGCCCCUUGACUCUCCCCUUUUAAAAAAAUGCAGGCAGUCCUCAGAGGGGUGAGACACAUAAAACAAUACAAUCAUAGAAGGCUACAUCCAGUUCUGAAAAGAAAAUGGUCUUUGGAGUCAGACAGAUGUGAACUGAAUUCCAGGCUCUGUCAUUUCCUAGCUCUAUGGCAUUAGGGAAGUCACCUGACCUCUCGCUGCCUUAAUUUACUCACCUGCUAAGCACGUGUAAUGAUAUUGCCAUAACCUUACUGUGAGAAAUAAAUGAGUUUAUAGCUGUU